UGGAAAUCGAGAGAGGCAGAGGAAGAGCUUCUGUGUUCUCUGGCGUCUCGGCUGCACUGCCGAUGAGAUUCCCCUGUAGUCAGCGUCUCUACGGGCUCGGUUUACGGCUGGAUGUCUUCAUGCCUCCCAUCCAGUGUUCCCAGGAUAGGCUCUGGAUUCAUUGAAAAAACUAACACAGUGACUGAAAUGCCAUUUUUCUCCAGACUUGGCAGAAGAAUAAAGCUACAGCAGCGUUCACACUCGGAAACAGCCGGUGGGCCGGAGAACAGAAUAGAUUACAAUUACAGACAUUUAGUAGAGAUAUUGGCAAAGAGUUGAACUUGGCUCUCUGAGUCUUUUGGGAUUUAAACUCAAUUCUUUUUGACAAGAAUAAAGAAAACCUUUAACCCAUUUGAAGUCCUGAUCAUUGGAAACUAAAUGCUUUGGCAUAUUUUUGCUAUUUAUUUUUUACUGUAUUAACACCAUCAUGUGUUUGCUUCAAAAACCUGAAAUAAAA